CAGCCGCCGCGGUAAGACAAAGGAUGCAAGCGUUAUCCAAAAUGAUUGGGUGUAAAGCGUCUGUAGGUGGCUUUUCAAGCCCGCCGUCAAAUCCUAGGGCUCAACCUUGGAUAGGCAGUGGAAACUACCAAGCUGGAGUACGGUAGGGGUAGAGGGAAUUUCCGGUGGAGUGGUAAAAUGCGUUGAGAUCGGAAAGAACACCAACGGCGAAAGCACUCUGCUGGGCCGACACUGACACUGAGAGACGAAAGCUAGGGGAGAAAAUGGGAUUAGAUACCCCCGUAGUCCCUGUCUCUUAUAA
rnacentral:rRNA from 1 species